GCAGAGUAGGUUUCGACGGGUCAAGUGUCUGACGGACGGAGAGUUGCCGGCAGAACGAAGGAUCUUAUAUGCAGAGCGGCUUAAAGCCCUGCACGUAACGAUUCGCCGUGUCGAAUCCGCAUCCCGCUGC
rnacentral:ncRNA from 1 species